CCCCAAAGUGUUGAGUUCAGUCCAGGGCUGCUGCCCCUGUUCUGGUAAUUAAGCUUUGGGAGAAUAAGUAGUUGGGAGACAUCAUUGGUGGGAAAUUUUGCUUUUCUGCCAGUUCCUUCUCCCAGCCCACAACA